UACGUAGGGUGCGAGCGUUGUCCGGAAUUACUGGGCGUAAAGAGCUCGUAGGUGGUUUGUCGCGUUGUUCGUGAAAACUCACAGCUUAACUGUGGGCGUGCGGGCGAUACGGGCAGACUGGAGUACUGCAGGGGAGACUGGAAUUCCUGGUGUAGCGGUGAAAUGCGCAGAGUAUCAGGAGGAACACCAGUGGCGAAGGCAGGCUCGUGGGA
rnacentral:rRNA from 1 species